CUUGCAUCAUUGUAAAAAUGAUGCAGGAUCGACUAUGUCGAAUAAAAUUCUAGGUAGAAUUAUGAUAAUGACAUUGUCUGCCUAUGUGUCUUGACCAAAUUACGUGCCAGCAGUCGCGGUAAUACGUAGAAGACUAGUGUUAUUCAUGUUUAAUCGGUUUAAAGGGUACCUAGACGGUAAAUCAAGCCUAAAAUUAAAUGAAGGGACUAAUUUACUAGAGUUACUUAUGAGGGGGUAUUAAAGUACUGCUGGUGUAGAGAUGAAAUUCUGUCAUACCUCUUUUCAAUAGAAAAACAAUGGCACAGGUAUAGGCGAAAGCAUCCCCUUAUGUGAUAACUGACGUUGAGGGACGAAGGCUUUGUGUAGCGAACAGGAUUAGAUACCCCAGUAGUCAAAGCAGAAAAUGAUGAAUGUCAUAGAUUAGAUAAAUAAGUUUAUUCUAUAAAUGAAAGUGUAAGCAUUCCACCUCAAGAGUAAUUUGGCAACAUUGGAACUGAAAUCAUUAGACCGUUUCUGAAACCAGUAGUGAAGUAUGUUGUUUAAUUUGAUGAUCCGCAAAAAACCUUACCACAAUUUGAAUAUUUAUAUUUUUUUAUUGUUUUCUUUUUAAUUUUCUUCUGAUUUGAUUUUUCUAAAGAAAAAAAGAAAAAAAGAAAAAGAGGCGAUAUGAUAUAUUUACAAGCGUUGCACGGCUGUCUUCAGUUAAUGUCGCGAGACUUUGGUUAGUUCCAUUAAAUUAACGUAAACCCUUACUUUAUUUUUAUAUAGAGUAGUUCCCCGCUAUAUUGGAUAUGAUAAC
rnacentral:rRNA from 1 species